rnacentral:tRNA from 1 species
CCCCCUGUAGCUCAAUGGAUAGAGCAGCGCUCUUCUAAGGCGAGGAUGCGGGUUCGAUUCCUGCCGGGGGGA